rnacentral:rRNA from 1 species
UACGGGGGGGGCAAGCGUUGUUCGGAAUUACUGGGCGUAAAGGGCUUGUAGGCGGCCAACUAAGUCAGACGUGAAAGCCCCCGGCUCAACUGGGGAGGGUCAUUCGAUACUGAUCGACUUGAAGGCAGGAGAGGGUAGUGGAAUUCCCGGUGUAGUGGUGAAAUGCGUAGAUAUCGGGAGGAACACCAGUGGCGAAGGCGGUUCUCUGGGCCUGUUCUGACGCUGAGGAGCGAAAGCGUGGGGAGCGAACAGG